UCGUGCGUGACUUACUUUCUUUUCGUUGCUCGUUUUGGGAAGACGCAAAAGUGUCGGUUGAAUAUUAGUUCGCUGGUGUAAUGUCGUAAAAGAUUGGUUUCCGUCAUCUAUUGAAGUAUUACCUUUCACGGAAUCAUCUUAUUAAACUAUGGAUUGAUAGUUUUUUUUUGGUUAAUCAAUAUCGUAGUGAACUCUUUUGAGAGGCUUUUAAACGAAUUACCAGCGAAACUAUUGACCGUAUCUUCCUGAUCGUUAUUAAUUAUCAUACAACGUCAAUCUUUCCAAUAGACCUUCUUUAAUAAGAGGGUCCUUGUAUCCCGUGUAAAUUUGCACAUUAACAUAUGUCACCGGAGGGACGUCCAUUUUGAAUUAUUACCAACAGAUGCCUUCAUCUGAAUACACAUUCAGCAGUAAUCAGCCGUUUGGAACCACGAGAUAGAAUACAUGACCUAUAUCUGAGCUUAUCACCGUCGACAUAAUUACUUAGCCUAUAUCAAUUAUCUGACCAGUUUUGGGGAAAUUUUCA